CCUACGGGAGGCAGCAGUGGGGAAUCUUGCGCAAUGGGCGGAAGCCUGACGCAGCAACGCCGCGUGCGGGAAGAAGGCCUUAGGGUCGUAAACCGCUUUCAGGGGGGACGAAGCUUCCGGGGUUAAUAGCCUACGGGGUGACGGUACUCCCAAAAGAAGGUCCGGCUAACUACGUGCCAGCAGCCGCGGUAAUACGUAGGGACCGAGCGUUGUCCGGAAUCAUUGGGCGUAAAGAGCGUGUAGGCGGCUUGGUAGGUCUCGUGUGAAAUCCCGCGGCUCAACCGCGGAUCCGCACGGGAAACCCCUAAGCUCGAGUCCGGAAGAGGAGAGUGGAAUUCCUGGUGUAGCGGUGAAAUGCGCAGAUAUCAGGAAGAACACCCGUAGCGAAGGCGGCUCUCUGGGACGGUACUGACGCUGAGACGCGAAAGCGUGGGGAGCAAACAGGAUUAGAUACCCUGGUAGUCCACGCCGUAAACGAUGGGCGCUAGGUGUGGGAGGUGUCGACUCCUCCCGUGCCGAAGCUAACGCAUUAAGCGCCCCGCCUGGGGAGUACGGCCGCAAGGCUAAAACUCAAAGGAAUUGACGG
rnacentral:rRNA from 1 species